GUGCUCACUCCAGCAGCACAUGUACUAAAAUUGGAACAAUACAGAGAAGAUUCUCACGGCCCCUGCACAGGGAUGACAUACAAAUUCACGUAGCAUUCCAUAUUUUG